rnacentral:rRNA from 1 species
CGGCAUGCCUAANACAUGCAAGUCGAACGAGACCUUCGGGUCUAGUGGCGCACGGGUGCGUAACACGUGGGAAUUUGCCUCGGGGUACGGAAUAACUCAGGGAAACUUGAGCUAAUACCGUAUGAUGUCUUCGGACCAAAGAUUUAUCGCCCUGAGAUAAGCCCGCGUAGGAUUAGCUAGUUGGUGAGGUAAGAGCUCACCAAGGCGACGAUCCUUAGCUGGUCUGAGAGGACGACCAGCCACACUGGGACUGAGACACGGCCCAGACUCCUACGGGAGGCAGCAGUGGGGAAUUUUGGACAAUGGGCGCAAGCCUGAUCCAGCAAUGCCGCGUGCAGGAUGAAGGCCUUCGGGUUGUAAACUGCUUUUGUACGGAACGAAACGGUGAGCUCUAAUACAGUUUGCUAAUGACAGUACCGGGAGAAUAAGCUCCGGCUAACUCCGUG